ACGCAGUUUCAUCUCCUUCCUGAUGCAUCCUGAGCCCCUCAGUGCCUAGCUCCUGCGUAAGCGCUGUAAACUGGACCAAGUGGAUUGAAAAUGGCCAGAAAUUGAUCUUGAUCACUUUAGAUAUUUUAUGACAAAGGAAAAAAAAAUCAUUUCUGUCGAGUUAAAAUCCAUUUGAGCCAGUUUAAGCUAUCUGUGUAGAGCUGGAGCCUGAGGUCGGCAAACUCAGGAAGAUGGCUGAAGACUAUGCUGACUCAAGCCCAGACAAGGAUCCAGGUUUCUCCGAUGGCAGAUUCACUUUUUUCUCGACUUCACCCUGGACCUGUGGUGACUGGAAGCCUUGAGAUGUGAUGAGAAAACCGAGGCUCAGAGAAGUCCCAUGACUUGUCCAAGGCCAUGAAGCUAGUUCACAGAAAGGCACAGAAUGAGCUCUGGAAGCACUUCAGAGAAUACCAUUUUGUGGCCUGGAGAGAUCAGCACCCUCACUACUAAGUGGCCUAAGAGCCAGCACCUUCAUGGAAUGGUGAAGAGGAAAGGCCAUUUGAGGACACAGUGAGAAGAUGAUGAUUAUCUACAAGCCAGGAAAAGAAGCCUCACCAGAAACCAAUCCUGACACACUGAGUUUGGGGUUUCAGCCUCUACAACUGUGAGAUAAUGAAUGUGUUGUUUACAGGACACUGUCUGUGAUAUCUUGUUAUGAUGGACCAAGGGGUCUAAUCUAACUAUUCCUUAAUAUUGGGAACACUACUUAGAAGCAAAUGAUCUUGGAAAAUGGUAAAGUCAUCUGUGUUUGCUAUUCCUAUCCCCCGCCCGCCCCCUGCCCUUUUCACCGUUGAGCCAUUUCAAACUGUGAUAGGUAAUUUACACUGUAUGCCUGGGACUCAUUGCUCUUUAGCGUUUAGCAUUUGAUUUCCAACAUCAUGGUUAAGGUCUGACAAAUCCUGUCCUGAUAAUACACAACAGAGAGUUACACAGAGAAAGGCUACAGUCCCAAAUUUCAGUCCACAGAGUAUUAUGAGCUUGGGUAGUGCUGAUGGAGCACUCUGACCAUUGGUUUAAAGACUAUUUUUACUAUUCUGUAGAGUGCAGUUUAGAACUGAGUUACAGAAUAGAGUAUAUCUCCUUAGUCUCUCCAUUUGGUCUCUCUUCCCUCACUAAUUCCAAAGUAUGCAAGCUAUAUGCUUUCUAGUUUUUUUUUCCCUUCACAGCCAUUAUCUAGGCACCAAAAACAGAGAUGGAAAGAGACGGGUUUAAUCCAAAGCACCAGUUUCCAUUACCUUAAGCUGCCUCAAUGAUUUUUCUGAUGGGGUGAAAUUUCUUGCACUUGGUCUCAGGCCCAAGGUAUAUGCAAUGCUUCAAUGAAAUUGCCUUCGACACCUUGAAGUGAGUGCCUGGGAACUAUGAGUUCGUCCAAUAGUAAAAGAGAAAAAGACUCAGAACUUCUUGUACAGGCACUGGACCAAAGAGGGGAUAGCUUUCAAAGGUUUCACUUGCUAUGGAGAUCUACUCUGAUAUUGAAAGUGUUCUGUUCGGUGAAAGACACAAAGACACAUACUCAUAGCCUAUGUCAGAAAGUGCAUAUUCCACAAGCUUCAUGUGAAACCCUCCACAUUUUGAUGCCGACUUCCCUUUCCUGUCUAAUCUCCUGUUACACCCCCCCACUUAAGUUGAGUUCCUUAUUUGUUUCUUUGCUGUUCAGUUGUUGACCACAUAGUAGGCCUUGGGGCUAGAAAGAUAAUGCUUAUCUACAGGCCCUUCUUCCACAUACCCAGGAGCUCAUAGGCUCAGAGGGGAACCUUUAAAGUAUCUCGUAUGGUUAAUGGCAUUGCAGAAGCUUGCUUUGCAUAGAGAAGUCACACAUGAUGGAAUUCCAUUUAUAACAGCCUCAUAGAAUGAUAAGGGCCAUGGAGCAGGCUUCUGCCACAUACAAUACUAAGUCCUAUGUCGGAGCUCUCUUGCGUGGGAUUUGAGCAAUUCACUUCUUGGAACAUAUGCAGAUAUAAUACGACUUUUCUGCUUCACCAUAGGGAAGAGUUUAGCAAACUCAAGGAGUAAGAUACAAUCAUCAGUGAAUUUUUCUCUCAGCAGUAACUCUUUGUCCCUGGGCAAGAUGUUUGGUUCUCAUGUCAACAUUCGGAAAGGUGUGGAAAGUGCUGACAGUCCAGCACACACGCAUGCAAAGGGCAUACCUUUAACCAUCUGGGAAUAACAGGUGCCCAAGUUCUACCCAUUUCUCUUGAUGUCCCAGUUGACAGGAAGAAACUUGGUGUAAUGGAGAUGUGGUUGUUCCAGAUGAGGAAAGAGAAAGGCAUUGAGGAAAUGUGUGCCAAGGGCUGCUGCAUAUCAAGGGGACUUGAGAUGGCAGCUAUUUAGGCUUUGGCACUGUGCCUUGUUGGUAGUGAGCCCUGUUCCUCCAGGGAUUUUCAAAGCAAAGGUUAGGGAUGAGAUGUAAAGAUUAAUCAGAAAGGCUGCUCCCCAAAUGGAGGCUUGGUGUUCAGAAAAGAAUGUUUGUAAGGUCAAUAUAAGACACCUAGAUUUUAGUCCUAGAUCUGCCCUUGACUUGUGGUCUGACCUUGGGCAAGCCAUUUCUUAGUUUUGGAUCUCAGUUUAUUUGUACCUUAAAAAGUUUGUUUGGAGGCCAGAUGUAGUGGUGCAUACCUUUAAUCCCAGCAUUCAGGAGACAGAGACAGGUGGAUCUCUCUGAGUUGAGGCUAGACUAUAUAGUAAGUUUCAGGUCGGCCAGGGAUACAUAGUGAAACUCUGUCUCAAAAAAAUUCGAGUGGUUUUAGGCUGGGGAUGUUGCCCAGUUGGUAGAGUAGUUUCCUAGCAUGUACAAAGCUCUAUGUUCUAUCACCAAUACCACAUAAACAAAGCAUGAUGGUACAUGUCUGUCUAUAAUCCUAGCUCUUGGGGGGUAGAGGCAAGAGAAUCAGAAGUUCAAGGUCACCAUCAGCUACAUUUUCAGUUUGGGGACAGCCUGAGAUAUAUGAGAUACUGUCUCAGAAACAAACAGACAGAGUUCAGUUUAUCUCUGAGGUGUCUUCUCAUACUGACCUUCAGUAUUUUUGGUCCCUCGGGUUCUCUAGAGAAGGAGCAAAUGCCAAGACAAUUAAAUCUAGACUGGAAGUUACAGAAUAUGAAAAGAAUAAAAGAAAAAACUUUAAAGCACAAAACCACAAAAUACAUCAUGUUAUUGGUAUUCUACUCCGUGCAUUUCCCACGAUAAGUAUUUGUCCUGUUGUUCCCGGGGAACAAUUGAAAUGUCUUGGGAAAUGCAAUUUUCAUUGUUUUAGUUGUAUCUCCUAAAUUGCCUCAUUCAACCAGGGAAGAUUUCAGCAAGUUUUUCAACAAGAACCAGUGUCGAAUUUUUGUUUCAGAAAAUAUGGUCACCAUAACUCUGUAGCACUCACCUUAUCUUCUUUUCUAGGUUUUUCUCAUACAUAACAAGUUUUCCAUCUGUGUAAGUAAUGUCCAAGGAAAUGGAAACUGAUUAAUAUAAUCUGUUGGGAUCAUUUGUUACUCACAUGUUACAUGUGUUUGGAAAUGUAAAGAGUCAUUCUUCAAUACAGAUAUUACAUGUAUUGUGAUUGCUUACAAUAGAUGAAGAGACCAGUUAGGUUCUCCUCCUGUAGCAUUCUGGAGAUAGAGGGCAGAAGAAACUGGGCAUCAGGGGAAUUUAGCAGUAGAAGCGGGAAGGCAGAAGUUUCAGAUAUCCAAGUUUGCAGCCUCUGCUGAUAGUGACUGGGAACCAGCAGAUUUGGAUUUAGGUAAAGGAACAUGUAAGCUAUGCCUGCCUGGACGUCUGUCUCCAGCCUUGACCUUUCUUCUGGGUCAGAGAAGAAUUUUAAAAUGUUCUAGUUCUCAGGCUGGCACCCUUAGCGUAUUUCUCCUCUCCCCAAGACCAGUUCUUCUCACUGUUCCUGCUACUGGCACUACUUCACCUUACCAAUCACUGACAAUGAUAAAAAUGGCGUUUACAUUUUUCCAUUACCCUGAUAAAUCUAGUUGGUUGCUAAGUUGUGGUACUUUUCCUUCACAGUUUCAUCUCCCAACAGGCAACCUCUUCCACAUUUCACUACAGCAUCCUUUAUUAGGCCCUCAUGACUUCUCAUCGAACAUGUGUGACUCAUUCUUACCCGGUUCAUUCUCUCUAAACCUUAUCUACUCAAUCAAUCAGGAUACAAACACACAUAUAACCUUUAGCCUUCUUUCUUCCCAAUUGUUAGGCUAAGUGUAUGGAGAGGUGAUUUUCAGUGGUGCAUAUGCAUUUUGCAUUGAAGAAAGGAAAGAAGGGAUUGUUUUCUCAAGACUAUUUGGAGGCAAUUUCAGUAGUCCAUAGCGGCGUAAGGAAAUACUUGCUCCUAGUUAAGAAUUAUAUUUUAUCUUGAAGCACUUUCACUGUCUGCUGUGCCUCUGAACUUGAAUGUUCAAGCAGGCCUGACACCUGUAGUUCUCCCUGCCCACAACACACUGGUAUUCUUCAUUUCUUUCUGUGGACACUUAGAACUGCUGAAUGCUUUUGUGUUGCUUUUUACCCCCCAGCCUCAUCUGAUCUUUCUCACAGAUGUCGGGGAUUCAGGGAUUCCCCAUAGGUUUGAGUGUCUCCUCCCUCAUUACUGGCCUUGGCCUCUUCCCACAGCCAUGUUUCCAUCACUCACAUGGACUUGGCCACGUGGCAGCUUUGCUGAUGGGCUCUUCAGCCAUCUCCCACAAACCCAGGCCAAGAGGUGACAUUCAAUCUAUCCUCAGUGUAUACCUCCAUCCUGCCAAAGCUGUAAAACUGUCUGGGAUUGUAGUCCCUUCCAGUUAUGUGCAUGAGGAGGUGCUUUCCAAAGACAUUGAUCAAUUCCCUAAAGAUCCCAUGGCACAGCAGGUAGAGCUCCUGUGGUUUGCCGCAAGAAAGCCAGACCAUAGCAACAAGUGCCUCAGGCUCAGCACUCUGAAACCCUCUCGAAUCACAGGGCUCGAGAAGACCACUGGGUCGUUUGGAACUUGUCCCAAACACAAUUAAAUAUCCAAGCAAAGGGGGAAAGAAUUUUUGGAAUACAAAUGGCCUAGCUCAGUGGGGUUGAUGGGGUGACCCAUCCAACCGGCGCUCCCAUUCCAGUCACCACAGAUCUACCAUCUCCUCAGUGGGCCUGCUGGAGUCAGCCUUGUCUGCAUCCAGGGGCAGCUCUAGUCGGCUUGCCCAGUAUCCCAGGCAUGUGCAACACUUCCACCUAACUCAAACCACAUGCAGAAGAUCAUGUCAUACUUGGCGCAUAACCAAUCGAGAAAGGCAUCAGAGGGUGUCCAGACCUCAGCUUGUUUGAACAAAUGUUCAAAAAACAUUUCUGAAGGGAUAUUCCAGAAAAACAUACUCACUCAAGGUCUUAAAAACAGAUGUUCAGGCUCUAAGAUUGGGUUGCUUUGCAGCUACUAUUAUCAAAUACAGUUAAGUAGGACCAAAUCAUUUUAGGCUUGAACGAGGGUAUAUGUUUAGCUUUCUUUUGUAUCUUUAUUUUUGGCCAUGGGAGGAUGUGUCAGAGGGCAGAACAUAAUGCCUAGAGGCAGCAUGCUGUUGUGAUUCACUCUCUGGCACUGGAGUCAGGCAGGCAAAGGCUUUGACCCCUGACUAGCUUGGUGUAUUAACCUAUCAUAGACUCACAUUGUUUAGCUACAAAACUAAUGGCAAUGUUGCUGACUCAUUACUUUUGUCAGGAGAACUAAAAAAAUACUACAUAUAUACGUAUGUGUACAUAUAUAGUGUAUACCAUGGAUUAAGCACUCAGCCAGUCCAGCACUGUUAUCAACACUAUAACCAGCAGAGCUUUACUAUUUACUAUUACUACUUUUAUACUAGUAGCACUGCUACUGCUGCUGCUGCUGUCUCUAGGACAGGAUCUAUUCCCAAAUUAGAUGGGGAGUUGAAGAGGGCCUCGGCUUCGUUUUUUCUAGUCUAUGGAGUAGGUAAGCAUACCAAGGAAGAAGACCGCAGGACUUCUAGUUUGAAAGGACGGGAAAGAGAGCAGUGCACAGAUCUUGUAGUUUAUUUUCAUUAUCUCAGACCAAAGCUCUUCCAUCCUUCAUUAGUUUGCUAUGUAACCUAUCUCGAGCCACUUUCGGUAAUGAUGUUUCACUAGUUACCCUUGAACAUGAAACCUUGUGGCACUUGUUUGCAGGUAAGCUGACCUAUGUCAGAGGCCUCGUCUAUGACUGGUAUGUGUAUGAGCAACUGGUCCAAAAGAGGCAAGGUACUAACUUCUUUUAAUGGCUCUAAGCUACCUAGCUCACAAUCCAGAUGUAUGCUAUAGCCACCACCAGAAUCUUUGUUAGCUACUGGCAAACAGUGGUAUGCUGGGCUCACUGCUAAAAGGAAAACUUUCCAUAUAGCCAUCAUUUGUACUUCACUUUUCCAUUAAUACUUGCUGUGCCAUGACAGCUAUUUUAUUUUACUUCUAUGCUUGGGAUAUGAUCCCAGGGACUAGUAUAGGCUAGGCAAGUGCUCUAUCUAUCACUGAGCUACAUCUCAAGAUGGAUCCAUAACUCUUUAAGAAGUUUAUCCAUCUAUUCAUACAUCCAUCAACACCUCCCCCCACAUCCAUCCACCUGCCAUUCAACAGGUAUUUAUUGAGCAAUAACAACAUCCAAAACAUGGUUGUAGGUGCUAACAAUAAGUCAGUGAACUGCUGUUAUGAAGCUUACAGUCUAGCUGCUUGGUCUAGCCAAACACAGUAUACCAUGAAAGUUCAUUGGAAAAGUUUAGUCUAGACUUUUGGAACAAAUUUUAGUCAGUCCUUCUCAACUGGACAAGUCUUUUAGGGUGCUUGAGUGGAGAGUGAGGGACUGUCUUGCAUCCAGCCUGAGCAAAGGUUCUGAGGGUGGCAGGGGACAGGGCUUUAGAUACAAAGUGGCUGCAUUUUGAUUUCUAAGAUUAAUCUGGUUGAUACAAAUUGUGUACUUACUAUGUUGAACGGCUAAGUUCUGAAAUGUGAUAAGAAUACAAUGUGGCUUUGUUAUCGUCUCAUUCAUAAACUGGCUCAGAAGGCAGUUCUCAAAGCAGCGUUUCAAAAAUAUUCUGAACAAUGGCAAUAUCAGAACAUAUUCUUAGGGGGACUGCUUUAGACAAUUCAGUACAUAUCUGAUUGUACAAAUCCUGCUCUAUUAAAAAGAAACAUUGCUAGUAGCUAAUUUAUUAAAAAAACAGUGAAAAGAAAGAAAUGUAGACUUAAAUUUUUAAUUCAAUUAUUGAAAUAUUUAUGCAUUAUAUGUUUGGAUUUAUGACUGCCAUACAAUUAAUUCACUUUAAAAAUAAUGCAAGGAAUUUUUCUUUGCACUUAGGUUUUUUCCAGUCAGUUCAUGCAUAGUCUUCUGCAUGGGAGUCUUUGAAGCAAACAGCACAGGUGUUUAGCCAUUGUCUCUUUUUUAUGUAAAAGUCAAUCUUCCCAUUACAUGGCAGGCCUGCAGAAAUGCCUUCUGCUUUGAAGCCAGUGAGUGUAUGACCAAGUUAACUGGUAUUUUUGUUUUUCAGCGGAAUGUUAAAUCAGGAAUUGUAAACAAUUCCUAGGCAAUGUGUAUAAUGUUCGUAAGUCAUUCCUAGAAAUUGUUCACAAUGCCUGUAACAUAUAUGCAGCUAGCAAGAUUUCUGAAGUACAUAGGAAGCCUUCAAGAAGCUAAUUGUCCAUUUGUAGGACAACUCUGGAUCAUGACAUUUCUUGUAAUCAAUUCUACUUAUUUAUCUGUUAAUUUGUCUAGAUGUUAAUAAUUCUGAUAAUAGUAGUACUACUUGAUUUCCAUAGCUCCAAAGGAUUUCUGCAAUUUUUGCCAGUAAUUUGGUGAUACAAGGUUUUGGACAUGCUUAUUUUACAAGGCAUUAGGAAAAAAAACAAUAAUUAGGAAUAAAGGCAAUUGUACUUGUCAGGUGAGCCAAGGUCCUGUCUAAACGUUCUUAUUUUUUCACAAAAGCUUUAGGCAAAGCUUCCUUGCCUUUCCCAUAGCUUACUUUCAGCCACUUUUUUAUACUCUAAUUCCCUUGGGCUUUCCUAAGUCAUGCUAAAGAAACUUAAUCAUUUCUACCAGUCUUACUCUGUCAUGAGAUUUUCUUGCCUUUUCCUGUUCACUUAUCUGCUAAUGGAACUUGAUAUUCACAUAAUGUAAUUGCUUAAUCUAUGUACUUGAUUCCUAUUUGUAUUUACUAUUUUGAAAUGAUCUGCCUAUUGGUUUAUAUCAGCAUUGCUGUGGGUUAUAUCUAUGUAACUACUCUAAAUCAAUUUUGAGAUGAAAGCAAAAUGUUGAAUGAGUUUUGGCCUUGAGUGUGAUGAUCAUAUCAAGUCACUGGUUGGGAUUCUUUGCAUGUUUACAGUUAAGUGAAUUUACUUGACUUCUGAUUGACUAGUGGAAAGGGACUAUCCUAGGAGCCCAUUCAGAUGAAGCCAGGGAAUGAGCUGGCUAUGUGGGAUGUGGGACUAAGAGAUUGGGCAAAGCCUUUUGACAAUUGAUCUCAGCAUCUAGUUCUGGUGCCAAGUAACUAGCAGAUGUCAUAAGAUGCAGCUGAGCAAUAUUUUAUAGUCAUACAAAUGGCCCUUUAAUUUGCUUAGAUGAUGACCCUCACCCCAAAUCCCAUCCCUACUGUAUCCAGAUAUGACCCAUCUCCCAAGGCCAAACUUAACUUCUGUUAAAUCCUGCCUAGUUGUAUUGGUCCUCUCUGGUGUAUCUUCUUUGAAUGCCUCUAGACCUUUAAGGACAUUUUGUCUCUGAAACUGAACUGCACUGAUAUAAUUAUGUACUGUGCAUUUUUCAUGGAUGCCUUACACUUAUGGUGACCAUAUUUUCCAACCAAAAAUUAGAACAUCUGAAAAUUGAGGUGAGUAUUUGAAAUGAGCAGUCCUCUGGCAAACAUAUGCUUAUUCCCUUCUGUGUCUCUGACCUGUUGAACAGUCAGCAUUGACUAUGACAACAGGAAGGCAAAGACAGACAGAAGGUAACAUCUACCAAGUGGCAAGUAAAGGACACAUAUUUUUGGAGUGUCUAGUAUAGGCAGGUAUAGCUUAAGAGCUUUGUUAUUAUGCCUUAGGAAUAAUGCAUUGGUCCUGAAAAUAAAAGCAAUGUAAGAAAAGAAGAGGGACAACAAAAGUGCCAAUACUGAGACACUGUAGAAGGGUUGUAUCAUACAACCCAGCAGGUAAGAGAGGUCUCUAAAGAGGAGGCCUUGUGCUCAGAAAGACAAAUAGAGAAGUUUUUCACUGAAGUUCUUAAACAUAUGAUUAGACAGAUUUUUUUAAACCAAAUUCUGGGAGGCUUUGCAUAAUACAAUUAUAAAUAAAUUUAGGGAAAUUAUAACAAUGGUGAAGAAAUAGCACUUAAUUGGGCUAGGUGUUACAAGCUGAGAAUGCAGCUUGGAAAGAGUGUAGCUUCAUUUAGGGCUAGUUAGUAAGUUCUGGUCCUGACUCAUUAAUAGAGGUUAGCAAAUUAAUCUUUUCUUGGGAAAACAAGCAUCUAAAGUUACCCACAUCAAACUUCUUGACUCAUUUGGAGCAUCUAUGUGUAGACUCCUCCAUGCUCCAUUCUGUGGGACAUCAAGAGAGAGACUGACUGGAAUUAGUAGAGCCAAGGGCUUUUGAGUAUGCAACUUUUACGGAUUAGUGUGGUUUCUUCCUGUUGUGAGCCCAUGGCAGACAGAGCGAAGAGUGCUACUUACUACUUUUUGCCCUGGGAAGCCUUAAGGGGGCACUGACUAUUGACUUGAUACUGCUUUUCCUCUAAAGUACCUAUCUUUUUCUGCCUCAUCUUCAUUUUUAUUCUCUUCCAUUUUAUGUCUAGCUGAGACUGAAUUAAAGAACAGGACAUAAGUUAGUGGGUAAAACUCAAUUGCCAUUGUUAGUUCUGGCCAUGAGAGUUUCUCUCAUCCAAGUCCUAACCAGGACCACCCUGCUUAGCUUCCAAGGCCAAGAUCAACUGUAUUCAGGUAGUAUGUUUCUUAGUUCUCCCAGGUAGACUUGGCUGUAACUCUGUGUACCUGUUAUCUUGGUUUUUUAAGUCUGGGAUUCCACUUUGCAUUGGUUCUAUUGUUUGUGAAGUAUGGUAUCUAGCAGUAGACAAUUGAUAUCAAGUAUCAUCUUUCCUUGUCUUUCUCUCUCUCUCCCUCCCUUCUUCUCUCUAUUUUCUUUUGAGACAGAUCUUAUAUGUAUUAGGCAGGCCUCAAACUCCCUGGGCACCCAAGGCUGACUGUGUACUCCUGAUCUUUCUGCCAAUGCUGGGAUUAUAGGAGAUGCUCCCAUGCCCAGCAUACAUGUGGUCUUAACGGUUUAGAACAGAAUAUAAAUACUGGAUCACUUAUGAGCAUUAUGCUUUUGUUCGUACAACCUAACUUUACAUUUGCAUCUUGAAGACUUCAUGUUUCAACUUGAACUCACAAUGAAAGACCUUGAACUCUUAGUCUUCACAUUUUCUGGUGUUGCAGACUAAAGCUUCCUGGUCCCAUCUUUGCACUCGUUAAACGACAUGUGAGGAUUGAUAUAUAGAACAAGCAUUUUGGAAUUGCAUAGAAGUAUUUGAGGAAAAAAUUAGCUCCCAGUACAAAGCCAUUUCUUGGGCUGUCUGACAAGCAAACAAUUGAUGGAAUUUUUUUUAGUCUUUGGCAUUUUUUCCUACUUGCCACACCUCAUUUCCUAAUUUGAACCUUCAAAUGCAUUCUGUUUUUGCCCUGAUGAUAGCGGCUGAAAUCUUCUGCCUCCUGUCUCUCUAUACCUCCCUGCUAUGAGCCUUAGGUUUUUUCCCUCUUGAACGCAUUCAAAACCAUGAAAUAGUUUAUUGUUAUUCCUUUUCUCCCUGAAAAGAAAAGGUAGCUAUGCCAGAUAGUGCCAGACAGAUGGGAACGUUAGUUCCAGGGUAUGGGUAGAUUACGUACAGGGUUAGUAAGGAUAAGCAUGUUGGAGUUACCCACUCUCAGGCUUUUACCAGAGGCUCAUCCCAUCUGAUGGCUCCUCAGGAGGGUAAGUCACAAGGAAUUACUGUAGCAUGGAUGAGUGUUACUGAACUCCUAAUCAAAGUCCAGCUGGGAAGAGCAGCUGAAGAGAACUGGUCUUUGCUGGCAUCCAAGAAAAAUAUGGAUUUGGCCAGGUAAAGAACUUCUUGGCUAUGAUGGAAUGAGUCAGGGUUAACAAAACCUUAUACAAGGUUUUACCAAUAGGCUAGCACUGUACAUGUGUCAGGCCUAUUCUCUUCUAGUGUUCUCUGCCUGGCAGGCAAGGCAAGGCAAGAUAAACACCUGAAUCUUUUGAGAUAGAUGGCUAAGUUCUGACAUGACAUCUCUCAUACAAUAUAUCCAAUGAAUCAGAUUCUCUCUGCAAUUACUUCAAGGUAUUAUUGCUUGGGAGAAAGACAAAAGAGUUACAUAGUCUGUUCUUCAUCUCUUUCUUCUUGGAACAGCCAUAUACCUUGUGUUCAUGCUGUCCACCCUAUUUCAUCUAUUCCUCCAACACUUAGGCUUACCCCUGUGCAGAGGGUAGAUCUGAACGAUGUGUUCUUGCAGAAUAACAUCUUUCCCAGAAACCUUAUCGCAGAAGCCAUUGGCCAGGUAGCCCGCCUCUGUUCUGUUUGCUGGAAGAGCUGCUUAGGUUUCCAGUAUUACUAUCCACUGGAGACUGGGCAGGACUGGGAAGCAGCUUUCCCUAGCAGAAGAAUUGCAUUAGGAAACACUUUGCUUGGAAGUUAAGGUGAGAAAUCAUCAGGCCAGAAAAGGGUAUGUUCUUAGGAUCCAGAACAACUAUAAAGUCACUUUUCCCCCAAGGUACAUUGCAUUAUUUCUUGGACUGUUGUAUUGUGGGGGUGGCAGUAAGAGUGGGGGUGGAGCUAGGAUGAGUAACGGUUUUGGAACAUAAAGUCCUACAGUUUUUCCAUUUUCUGUCUACCUGAGAUGGAAUUAAAGAGACCUAAAAUAAGAUAAAAUAAAACUACUUCAAGAAGCUCCCCCAGAACAUCAUUUUUAAUUCUAUUAUCUUUUAAAAGAAUCUAAUAAGAGUGUGAGUUUAAUCUCUUCCUUGUGAAAACUCAGGUUUUCCCUGCUUCACAGGAUGGGAUAAGUUCCAUGAGCUUAAGGGGAAAUACAGAGCACUUAUCUCCUUUCUUUCCUUCCUCUUAACUUCUCCCUUGCUGUUCACUCUAUGUAAAGACAUCUUGGGAAUAUGGCUAAUAGUCUUAAAAGAAUGUAGAAGCCACGGAACGAAGGAUCUUAAGGGAGGGGGAUUGGAAGAGAGCAUAAUGGAAUACAUGUGAUUUUAAAAAAUCAGAAUAGGCAAACCAUGUGGGAAAAUUAAGAGAAUCAAUCAGAGUGGGUAGGGAACAAGGGGGUACGGAAGAUGGAGAGGGGAAUGAGUAAGAACAAAGCAUAAUGACACAUAAGAAAAUGCCAUAAUGAAGCCCAUUACUUUAUAUGCUAAGUUAAAAUUUAAUUUUCAAAGAAUGGAAAUAUUGACAACAGAGUGUGUGAGUUCAAAUAUUAGCUCAGAAACUUCUGAUAAUGAAUAACCUAUUUAAUUUUCUUAUACCUUAAUUUCCUUUAUUGGAGAGAUAAUAAGACCUACAUUUUGGAGUUACUGGGUUAAUUAAAAAUGUGUCUUCUCCCCCUUCAUAGAUAGACAUAUACAUGGGAUCAGUGCUUGGAUGCUCUGUUCUUCUUAGGACUGAUUUUAGUCAUUCAAGUUGGGCACAAUUCUGAGGGAGAAGAAAUCGAUAAUGUGGUUUCUUGCAGCCCCUUUCAAAUGAAGAACUCUGGGUCUUUUAGAAAAAUCCAGGUUGGUACUGACAAGAUGGUUCAGGUGGGUAAAAGUGCUUGAUACUAAGCCUGAUGACCUGAAUUCAAUUCUUAGGACCCAUAGGGUAGAAGAAAAGAUCCAACUGCCGCAUGAUGUCCACUAAAUGCCACACGUGUCCCUUCCACAAAUAAAUAAGUAAAAUGAAAUGAUUUUUUUAAUUAGAAAAAUUUAGGUUUUACUUCUAGAUAUGUAUUUAAGAAGAAUUAUUCAGGGCCGAGGAUAUAUAACUCUGUGCUAGAACACUUGCCGGGUAUUCACAAGGCCCUCAAUACCCACCCCCCCCCCCCAUACAACAGAGAGAGAGAGAGAGAGAGAGAGAGAGAGAGAGAGAGAGAGAGAGAGAGAGAGAGAGAGAAGAAAGGAGGAAAUGAAAAAAGUAAAGAAUUGCUCACUAGUGAUUUCUCUUGAAUACCUAAAAUAGUUCCACAUCUAGUUUAGGGUAUGCGACCCAGCACGUUUUCAUUGUGUGUUUCUUGAAAUGAAGAAUGAAUGAAUUACAGAACUUCAUAUAUUACAGAUUCUAUUAGUUACAAGAGCUUUAAAAAUAUCUUGAGGCUAAGUGUAUUCUCAUAACAGUGGGGGAGGAUGGUGGGACACAUACCAUGUGGUGGAGAGAAAGAGAGCUCAACUAGAGGAAAAGAAUGGGUUUCAAUUUCAACUUUGCUAUGUACCACUUAGAUAUAGGUCAGCUAGUCACUGCAUCUCUUAGGUCCUCAUCAAUUUAUUCAGUAAGGUCAGGAUAAUAGUACUUUUGAUACUUCUUUCUACAACAGUGAACCUUGUUCUUAUUGGUAGUCCACAUAACCCAUUUUUAUAGAGGAGUUCUCAGGCGAGUUAAAGGCUGUAAAGCAUCUGGAGGGUCAUGAAAGGUAGCUUAGACCCUUUUAUCCUGACCUGUAGCUUCAGGCAAUUGUUAUUAAUCAUCAUAAUCUGAAUAAGUGAAUUAAAUUAUUAGGGCCACAUUCAGACAGGCCUGGUGUUCUAGUUUCAUUUUUGCUUCUGUGAUAACCUGACCAAAAGCAACUCUGGGGAGAGAGGCUUACUUGGCUUACAAUUCCAGGUCCAUUCUUUCCAGGAAGUCAAGGCAGGAACUCAAGCAGUCAGCUUCAUCAUAUCCACAGUCAAAUAGAGAGUAAUUCGGCAAGACACUGUCUCAAGAUACAAUUCUUAUAACAGUUAGACUACUACUCAGUGGUAGAGCACUUGCCUAGUGUAUGUAUGCAAAGACAUGCCUGGAUUUGAUCCCCAGCACAAACCUCCUGAGUUAUAAAUCCAUGAAUCCAUACAAUUAAAUGUUCUUUAGGACAGAGCAGAGGAAAGUAGUAGACUGUAGAAACAUGAAAUGGGUGACAGUCCAAACAACUCCAAUACACCAUGCAAGGAUGACUUCAUACUAUCCGAGGUUUGAGAAGUUAUUUUCUUGGGUUUGAGAGUCUGCCCUAUAGACCCACUGGGUGAGAGAAGCCUAACCUAUGAGAACGAAGUGGUAGCUCAGCUCUCGGAAGCUGAGACAGGCUUGGCCCAUGGACCUGUGGCCUGUGGCCUUUGGAGAGAUUAUUGGAACUACUAAUCUCUUAUUUGACUUUGACUCAUUCUUCCCCAUUUUUAUUUAAUUUUAUUUUGAGACAGGGUCUCACAGUGUAGACCACAUGGCCUAAAACUCAAUAUAUAAACCAGGUUGGCUUUGAACUUAUAGAGAUCCAUCUGUCUCUGUCUCCCAGGUGCUGGGAGUGAAGGUGUGCACCCCAUAUUUUGAAGAAUGUUCCAUAUUUGCAGUUCAAUAGUUGUGUCCUUUAAGCCGGGAAUUUAAAAGUCUAAUAGUUAAAAAGUCUAAUAGCUUUCCUUCAUUUUAUAUGGUCUCUGUUUCUUUUAAUCCAAACUAGCAGUAUUUCUGUUGUAUAAUCCAUAAUUUCUUCAUCAAGUAAUAGACUUUGAUAUUGUUUCUGGUUUUCCCUCUCUCAGAAGCUAUUAAUUGCCUGUAGCUCUUUGGCUAGGGAUGGAGGCUUGUGAAAUUUCCCACAUCCAGGUUGGCAGGACAGGGGGUAUAGACAUGAUGGAGGUCUUGUGCAGACAAACAUACUGUUUAGAUUUCAUGGGUAUAUUAUCCCUGUCAGAAAUAAAAGAUAUUAUUUAGCAGCAGCAUCCUUUAAUACAGCUGAGGAGGUAAGGCACUCACAGGUCUCCGCUUGUAUAUCUGGUAGAUGACCCCAGCUAGGCCUAACCUAAGAGCAUAGGUCAAUGAGGGAGGAUAAAGAUCCAGAACACUCAAAAGCUGAGCUGGUUUACAGUCUGCAUGACCCGAGACUCUCUGGGAGUCCCAAUAGAGUAGGGUGACUGUAACAUGUUGGGCCUGCCCUGCAUGGGCUGUUGCACAGGCAUUGGACGCCACAUAGACACAAAGUAUGUAUGGGCAGACUUGCAGAUGGCAAGAGACCUGGGCAGAACCCACGAAGAGCUGGCAUGCAGACUACGAGAUUCCAGCAAGGCCUAGGAGUGUCAUGAAAUGGGUGGGUCCUGUGGUUAUUGGCCCCUGUCAGGACUGUAUUGGGGUGCAGACUACAUCAACCAGGGUUCUGUGUCAAAGAGGACGAGAAAUCACGGGAUCUGGGACUCUCCCCUCACUGGAUGCUGUGAAACCAACAGAGACCUUGUCUUAUCACACUGGUUCUCAUCCUGUGGAUAGAGACCCACCAGGGACCCUCUGAAUCACAGAUCUUUCCCUGGCGAUUCAGAAGAGUAACAAAAUUACAGUUACAAGGUCCCAACAACAAUAAUUUCAUGCUUGUUGGUCACCACGACAGGACCACCUGUCUUAAAGGGUCACAGUAGCAGGAAGGUUGAUACCCAGUGACUUGUGGUUUCAAAGAAGGUGGCAUAGAGUCUGGUCACUCUCCAUGAUUGGAAUGGGUAAGGCGCUAUGAUCACAGCAGGGCUCUCUGUCCUGGGAGAGUGGGGACAAGGGUGGCGGUUGAUAUUCUUGUCACUCAGGAGGCUUUGGUGUUGCACAGACUACUGGACCCUCUACGGGUUUCCGUAGUGACAUAGAUGUCAUGGGUGAAUGGAAGGCUACAGGUCGGCCAUCUCCCAGGAUGGUCUGACUGUGAGCCAUAGGAUCCCAGCUGAUUCUGAAUGAUGAAAUGUUGGGGGAAAUUGGGGACUAAGAGCCCCAGCUAAUUGGUCAGGUUCACAAAACUGUGCAACACCAGCUGGGACAGUGAGUGGUGGACAGGGCCAAGGAGGGAGGAUCUGGGUCUCACUCUAUUCUGGAUUGGGGAAAUAGUUGUGGGGCCCAGCAGAGCCUGGGAUGGGGAACUCUAGGAGCAUGACAGAACCCAGGCCUCAAAGCUGACUGGCCCAAUGAACACGGUGUGAUGGCCAGCAAGGCCCUGCCUUGUGGUGGUGGCCUGCAAAUGUGUGUCUUGGUCUCACCUGAUUGGACUGGCACACAGAACCUGUGUCCUCAGCUAGGCUGAGCACUGUGUAGUUAGGCAAAGUCCUAUGUAGGACUAGAGCCCAAACCUAGCUGGUCUAGUACACCACGUGUGCAUACCCAUCUAGACUUGAAGAAUGAGAACAUGGCCUGUGAAGGCAGGUCUGGGCUCCUCACUUUGCUGGAAUGGAUCACAGGCUAUGGCAGAUCAGUGAGGCCUGGGACUAUGUGAUUGCAUGAGAUUAAAGGAGCUGAGGCACUCACAUGUCUCUGCUUGGCUACCUGGGGGGAUGGCCCAGCUUGGCCUAUGAGCAUGCAGCAGUGUGAGAGGAUAAAGUUCUAGAACACUCCAUGGUUGGGCUGGUGAGCAGUCUGGAUGAACCCAGCACUUUCUGAGGAUCUGGAUAGAGUAGUAUGACUGCUUCAUGUUAGUCAGUCACCAGGACAGGUUUUUUUUUUUUUUUUUACACGGGCAUUUUGAUGCCACAUAUGAAGUAUGAGCAGAGUGUAAGUAGGGAAGGGACCGGACCAGAAUCCAUGAGGUUCUGGCAUGCAGACCACAAGAUGCCAGCUAGGCCUAGGAGUGUAGCAAAAUUGGGGAAUGGUGGAGUCACUGGUCCCUCUCUGGACUGUUCGGGAGUGUAGCCUACCUCAAGUAGGCCUCUGUUUCAAAGAGGCCAAGGACUGGGGGGAUGGGGGACACUCACCAGGCUCAGUGCUGUGAAGUCCAACAGAGACCUUGUCUUAUGGCAGCGGUCCUCAACCUGUGGGUAGCGACCCUAACAGAGACCAUCUGAAACAAAGUUAUUCGGGUGACGAUUCAUAACUGUAGCAAAAUUACAGUAAGGACGUCCCAAGCAAGUUUAUUUAUGGUUGAUGGUCAGCACAACCUGAGGAGCUGUAUUAAAAGGUGGCAGCAAGAAGAGUGUGGAAACCCACUGCCUUAUGGUAUUAAGGAAGGUGGGUUAGAGUCUGGCCGGUCUCUGGGAUUGAAAGGUGUAAGGCCAUAAGCCCACGGCAAGGUCUCUGUCCUGGGUGAGUGGGGACAAUGGUGGUGGGUGAUUAUCUGGGUCACUCAGUAGGCUUUGGUGUUGCACAGGCUGGUGUACUCUACAGAGGCAUCCAUAGAGGAUGUGCAUGACAUGGGUGAGUGGAAAACUGCAGACCACCUCCCAGUAUGGUCUGACUGUGAGCACUAGGAUGCCAGCUGAUUCUGAAUGAUCAAAUUGGGGGAAAUUGGAGACAGAGAGACCCAACUAACUAGUAGGUCCCCAGAUCAGUGCAACACCAGCUGGGCCACAGAGUGACGGACAGGGCCACAGAAGGUGUAUCUGGGUCCCCCUCUGUACUGAGCUGGGGAAAUAUAUAAUUGAGGGACCCAGCUAGGCCUGGGAAGGAGGGAUCGCAUGAACAUGACGGGACCCGGGCCUCAAAGCUUGGUGGCCUGAUGCACAAGUUGUGAUAGCCAAGCAAGGCCCCGCAGGUUGGUGGUGGUGGCCUGCAGAUGUGUGUCUUGCUCUCACCUGGAUGGACUGGCACACAGAACCUGUGUCCCCAACUCUUCUAUGCACUGUGCAGUAAGAGGCAUGCAUGUGUGGGACUAGAGCUCUCCCCUUGCUGGUCCAGAGCACGAAGUGUGCAUAUCCAUCUAGACCUGGGAGAAUGGGAUCAUGGCCUGUGAGGAGCUCUGGUUCCUCACUUUGCGAGAAUGGGCCAAAGUGUAUGGAGAAGUGGUGAGGCCUGGGAUAAUGGGAUUGUAUGAGGGGCUGAGAAACUGAGGCUCUCCCAGGUCUCGACUUGUUUACCUGGUGGAUGAGCACAGCUAGGCCUAACCUAAGAACAUGGGUCAAUGAGGGAGGAUAAAGAUCCAGAACACUCAAAAGCUGAGCUGGUCUGCAGUCUGCAUGACCCAAGAUUCUCUGGGAGUCCAAAUAGAGUAGGGUGACUCUGGCAUGUUGGGCCUGCCCUGCAUGGGCUGUUGCACAGGCAUUGGACGCCACAUACACUCAAAGUAUGUAUGGGCACACUUACAGAAGGCAAGAGACCUGGGCAGAACACACGAAGAGCUGGCAUGCAGACUAUGAGAUUCCAGCAAGGCCUAGGAGUGUCAUGAAAUGGGUGGGUCCUGUGGUUAUUGGCCCCUGUCAGGACUGUAUUGGGGUGCAGACUACAUCAACCAGGGUUCUGUGUCAAAGAGGACGAGAAAUCACGGGAUCUGGGACUCUCACCUCACUGGAUGCUGUGAAACCAACAGAGACCUUGUCUUAUCACACUGGUUCUCAUCCUAUGGAUAGAGACCCACCAGGAACCCUCUGAAUCACAGAUCUUUCCCUGGCGAUUCAGAAGAGUAGCAAAAUUACAAUUACGAGGUCCCAAAAACAAUAAUUUUAUGCUUGUUGGUCACGACGACAGGACCACCUGUCUUAAAGGGUCACAGCAUCAGGAAGGUUGAUACCCAGUGACUUAUGGUUUCAAAGAAGGUGGCAUAGAGUCUGGUCACUCUCCAUGACUGGAAACUGUAAGGGACUAUGCCCACAGCAGGGCUCUCUGUCCUGGGAGAGUGGGGACAAGGGUGGCGGUUGAUAUUCUUGUCACUCAGGAGGCUUUGGUGUUGCACAGGCUAGUGGACCCUCUACGGGGUUCCGAAGUGACAUGGAUGUCAUGGGAGAAUGGAAGGCUACAGGUCGGCCAUCUCCCAGGAUGGUCUGACUGUGAGCAAUAGGAUCCCAGCUGAUUCUGAAUGAUGAAAUGUUGGGGGAAAUUGGGGACUAAGAGCCCCAGCUAAAUGGGCAGGAUCACAAAUCUGUGCAACACCAGCUGGGACAGUGAGUGGUGGACAGGGAAAGGAGGGAGGAUCUGGUUCUCACUCUAUUCUGGAUUGGGGAAAUAGUUGUGGGGCCCAGCAGAGCCUGGGAUGGGGAACUCUAGGAGCAUGACAAGACCCAGGCCUCAAAACUGACUGGCCCGAUGAACAUGGUGUGGUAGCCCUGCAAGGCCCUGCCUUGUGGUGGUGGCCUGCAAAUGUGUGUCUUGGUCUCACCUGAUUGGACUGGCACAUGGAACCUGUGUCCUCAGCUAGGCUGAGCACUGUGUAGUUAGGCAAAGUCCUGUGUAGGACUAGAGCCCAAACCUUGCUGGUCUAGUACAGCACGUGUGCAUACCCAUCUAGACUUGAAGAAUGAGAACAUGGCCUGUGAAGGCAGGUCUGGGCUCCUCACUUUGCUGGAAUGAAUCACAGGCUAUGGCAGAUCAGUGAGGCCUGGGACUAUGGGAUUGCAUGAGAUCAAAGGAGCUUAGGCACUCACAUGUCUCUGCUUGGCUACCUGGGAGGAUGGCCCCAGCUUGGCCUUUGAGCGUGCACCAGUGUGAGGGGACAAUGGUUGUGGGUGAUUAUCUGGGUCACUCAGGAGGCUUUGGUGUUGCACAGGCUGGUGGACCCUACACAGGUAUCCAUAGAGGAUGUGCAUGACAUGGGUGAGUGGAAAGCUGCAGACCACCUCCCAGGAUGGUCUCACUGUGAGCAUUUGGAUGCCAGCUGUUUCUGAAUGAUCAAACUGGGGGAAAUUGAGGACAAAGAGACCCAACUAACUGAUCAGGUCCCCAAAACAAUGCAACACCAGCUGGGCCUCAGAGUGACAGACAGGGCCACGGAGAAUGUAUCUGGGUCCCCCUCUCUUCUGGGCUGGGGAUAUAUAUAUUUGAGGGUCCCAGCUAGGCCUGGGAAGGAGGGAUCACAUGAGCAUGACGGGACCUGGGCCUCAAAGUUUGGUGGCCUGAUGCACAAGUUCUGAUAGCCAAGCAAGGCCCCGCACUUUGGUGGUGGUGGCCUGCAGAUGUGUGUCUUGCUCUCACCUGGAUGGACUAGCACACAGAACCUGUGUCCCCAACUCUUCUAUGCACUGUGCAGUAAGAGGCAUGCAUGUGUGGGACUAGAGCUCUCCCCUUGCUGGUCCAGAGCACGAGGUGUGCAUAUGCAUCUAGACCUGGGAGAAUGGGAUCAUGGCCUGUGAGGGAGCUCUGGUUAUUCACUUUGCAAGAAUGGGCCACAGUGUGUGAAGAACCGGUGAGACCUGGGAUAAUGGGAUUGUAUGAGGAGCUGAGGAGUUCACAUGUCUCAGAUUGUUUACCUGGUAGAUGACCCCAGCUAGGCCUAACCUAAGACCAUAGGUCAAUGAGGGAGGAUAAAGGUCCAGAACACUCAAAAGCUGAGCUGGUGUGCAGUCUGCAUGACCCAAGACUCUCUGGGAGUCCCAAUACAGUAGGGUGACUGUGGCAUGUUGGGUUUGCCCUGCAUGGGCUGUUGCACAGGCAUUGGACGCCACAUAGACACAAAGUAUGUAUGGGCACACUUGCAGAAGGCAAGAGACCUGGGCAGAACUCACAAAGAACUGGCAUGCAGGGUACAAGACUCCAGCAAGGCCUAGGAGUGUCAUGAAAUGGGUGGGUCCUGUGGUUAUUGGCCCCUGUCAGGACUGUAUUGGGGUGCAGACUACAUCAACCAGGGUCCUGUGUCAAAGAGCACGAGAAAUCACGGGAUCUGGGACUCUCGCCUUACUGGAUGCUGUGAAACCAACAGAGACCUUGUCUUAUCACACUGGUUCUCAUCCUGUGGAUAGAGACCAACCAAGGACCCUCUGAAUCACAGAUCUUUCCCUGGCGAUUCAGAAGAGUAGCAAAAUUACAGUUACGAGGUCCAAACAACAAUCAUUUUAUGCUUGUUGGUCACCAUGACAUGACCACCUGUCUUAAAGGGUCAGAGCAUCAGGAAGGUUGGAUACCCAGUGACUUGUGGUUUCAAAGAAGGUGGAAUAGAGUCUGGUCACUCUCAAUGAUUGGAUGGUGUAAGGGACUAUGCCCACAGCAGGGGGCUCUGUACUGGUAGAAUUGGGACAAGUGUGGCAGUUGAUAUUCUUGUCACUCAUGAGGCUUUGGUGUUGCACAGGCUAGUGGACCCUCUACGGGGUUCCGUAGUGACAUGGAUGUCAUGGGUGAGGGGAAGGCUAUAGGUAAGCCAUCUCCCAGGAUGGUCUGACUGUGAGCAAUAGGAUCCCAGCUGAAUCUGAAUGAUGAAAUGUUGGGGGAAAUUGGGGACUAAGAGCCCCAGCUAAAUGGUCAGGAUCACAAAACUGUGCAACACCAGCUGGGGCAGUGAGUGGUGGACAGGGCCAAGGAGGGAGGAUCUGGGUCUCACUCUAUUCUGGAUUGGGGAAAUAGUUGUGGGGCCCAGCAGAGCCUGGGAUGGGGAACUCUAGGAGCAUGACAGGACCCAGGCCUCAAAGCUGACUGGCCCGAUGAACACGGUGUAAUGGCCAGCAAGGCGCUGCCUUGUGGUGGUGGCCUGCAAAUGUGUGUCUUGGUCUCACCUGAUUAGACUGGCACACAGAACCUGUGUCCUCAGCUAGGCUGAGCACUGUGUAGUUAGGCAAAGUCCUGUGUAGGACUAGAGCCCAAACCUUGCUGGUCUAGUACACCACGUGUGCAUACCCAUCUAGACUUGAAGAAUGAGAACAUGGCCUGUGAAGGCAGGUCUGGGCUCCUCACUUUGCUGGAAUGGAUCACAGGCUAUGGCAGAUCAGUGAGGCCUGGGACUAUGGGAUUGCAUGAGAUCAAAGGACCUGAGGCACUCACAUGUCUCUGCUUGGCUACCUGGGGGGAUGGCCCAGCUUGGCCUAUGAGCAUGCAGCAGUGUGAGAGGAUAAAGUUCUAGAACACUCCAUGGUUGGGCUGGUGAGCAGUCUGGAUGAACCCAGCACUUUCUGAGGAUCUGGAUAGAGUAGUAUGACUGCUUCAUGUUAGCCAGUCACCAGGACAGGUUUUUUUUUUUUUACACGGGCAUUUUGAUGCCACAUAUGAAGUAUGAGCAGAGUGUAAGUAGGGAAGGGACCGGACCAGAAUCCAUGAGGUUCUGGCAUGCAGACCACAAGAUGCCAUUAGGCCUAGGAGUGUAGCAAAAUUGGGGAAUGGUGGAGUCACUGGUCCCUCUCUGGACUGUUCGGGAGUGUAGCCUACCUCAAGUAGGCCUCUGUUUCAAAGAGGCCAAGGACUGGGGGGAUGGGGGACACUCACCAGGCUCAGUGCUGUGAAGUCCAACAGAGACCUUGUCUUAUGGCAGCGGUCCUCAACCUGUGGGUAGCGACCCUAACAGAGACCAUCUGAAACAAAGUUAUUCGGGUGACGAUUCAUAACUGUAGCAAAAUUACAGUUAGGACAUCCCAAGCAAGUUUAUUUAUGGUUGGUGGUCAGCACAACCUGAGGAGCUGUAUUAAAAGGUGGCAGCAAGAAGAGUGUGGAAACCCACUGCCUUAUGGUAUUAAGGAAGGUGGGUUAGAGUCUGGCCGGUCUCUGGGAUUGAAAGGUGUAAGGCCAUAAGCCCACAGCAAGGUCUCUGUCCUGGGUGAGUGGGGACAAUGGUGGUGGGUGAUUAUCUGGGUCACUCAGUAGGCUUUGGUGUUGCACAGGCUGGUGGACCCUACAGAGCCAUCAAUAGAAGAUGUGCAUGACAUGGGUGAGUGGAAAACUGCAGACCACCUCCCAGGAUGGUCUGACUGUGAGCACUAGGAUGCCAGCUGAUUCUGAAUGAUCAAAUUGGGGGAAAUUGGGGACAGAGAGACCCAACUAACUAGUAGGUCCCCAAAUCAGUGCAACACCAGCUGGGCCACGGAGUGACAGACAAGGCCACAGAAGGUGUAUCUGGGUCCCCCUCUGUACUGAGCUGGGGAAAUAUAUAAUUGAGGGACCCAGCUAGGCCUGGGAAGGAGGGAUUGCAUGAACAUGACGGGACCCGGGCCUCAAAGCUUGGUGGCCUGAUGCACAAGUUGUGAUAGCUAAGCAAGGCCCCGCAGGUUGGUGGUGGUGGCCUGCAGAUGUGUGUCUUGCUCUCACCUGGAUGGACUGGCACACAGAGCCUGUGUCCCCAACUCUUCUAUGCACUGUGCAGUAAGAGGCAUGCAUGUGUGGGACUAGAGCUCUCCCCUUGCUGGUCCAGAGCACAAGGUGUGCAUAUCCAUCUAGACCUAGGAGAAUGGGAUCAUGGCCUGUGAGGAGCUCUGGUUCCUCACUUUGCGAGAAUGUGCCAAAGUGUGUGGAGAACCGGUGAGGCCUGGGAUAAUGGGAUUGUAUGAGGGGCUGAGAAACUGAGGCUCUCACAGGUCUUGUCUUGUGGAUGAGCACAGCUAGGCCUAACCUAAGAACAUGGGUCAAUGAGGGAGGAUAAAGAUCCAGAACACUCAAAAGCUGAGCUGGUGUGUAGUCUGCAUGACCCGAGACUCUCUGGGAGUCUUUCUGCCCUGCAUGGGCUGUUGCACAGUCAUUGGACGCCACAUACACUCAAAGUAUGUAUGGGCACACUUGCAGAAGGCAAGAGACCUGGGCAGAACCCACGAAGAGCUGGCAUGCAGACUAUGGGAUUCCAGCAAGGCCUAGGAGUGUCAUGAACUAUGUGGGUCCUGUGGUUAUUGGCCCCUGUCUGGACUGUAUUGGGGUGCAGACUACAUCAACCAGGGUUCUGUGUCAAAGACCACGAGAAAUCACGGGAACUGGGACUCUCACCUCACUGGGUGCUGUGAAACCAACAGAGACCUUGUCUUAUCACACUGGUUCUCAUCCUGUGGAUAGAGACCCACCAGGGACCCUCUGAAUCACAGAUCUUUCCCUGGCGAUUCAGAAGAGUAGCAAAAUUACAAUUACAAGAUCCCCAAAACAAUAAUUUUAUGCUUGUUGGUCACCAUGACAGGACCACCUGUCUUAAAGGGUCACAGCAUCAGGAAGGUUGAUACCCAGUGACCUAUGGUUUCAAAGAAGGUGGCAUAGAGUCUGGUCACUCUCCAUGAUUGGAAUGGGUAAGGCGCUAUGAUCACAGCAGAGCUCUCUGUCCCGGGAGAAUGGGGACAAGGGUGGCGGUUGAUAUUCUGGUCACUCAUGAGGCUUUGGUGUUGCACACGCUACCGGACCCUCUACGGGGUUCCGUAGUGGACAUGGAUGUCAUGGGUGAGUGGAAGGCUACAGGUCGGCCAUCUCCCAGGAUGGUCUGACUGUGAGCCAUAGGAUCCCAGCUGAUUCUGAAUGAUGAAAUGUUGGGGGAAAUUGGAGACUAAGAGCCCCAGCUAAUUGGUGAGGUUCACAAAACUGUGCACCAGCUGGGACAGUGAGUGGUGGACAGGGCCAAGGAGGGAGGAUCUGGGUCUCACUCUAUUCUGGAUUGGGGAAAUAGUUGUGGGGCCCAGCAGAGACUGGGAUGGGGAACUCUAGGAGCAUGACAGGACCCAGGCCUCAAAGCUGACUGGCUCAAUGAUCAUGGUGUGGUGGCCCAGCAAGGCCCUGCCUUGUGAUGGUGGCCUGCAAAUGUGUGUCUUGGUCUCACCUGAUUGGACUGGCACACAGAACCUGUGUCCUCAGCUAGGCUGAGCACUGUGUAGUUAGGCAAAGUCCUGUGUAGGACUAAAGCCCAAACCUUGCUGUGUGCAUACCCAUCUAGACUUGAAGAAUGGGAACAUGGCCUGUGAAGGCAGGUCUGGGCUCCUCACUUUGCUGGAAUGGAUCACAGGCUAUGGAAGAUCAGCGAGGCCUGGGACUAUGGAAUUGUAUGGGAGCGGACGAGCUGAGGCACUCACAUGUCUCUUCUUGGCUACCUGGGAGGAUGGCCCCAGCUUGGCCUAUGAGCGUGCACCAGUGUGAGGGGACAAUGGUUGUGGGUGAUUAUCUGGGUCACUCAGGAGGCUUUGGUGUUGCACAGGCUGGUGGACCCUACACAGGUAUCCAUAGAGGAUGUGAAUGACAUGGGUGAGUGGAAAGCUGCAGACCACCUCCCAGGAUGGUCUGACUGUGAGCACUUGGAUGCCAUCUGAUUCUGAAUGAUCAAUUUGGGGGAAAUUGGGAACAAAGAGACCCAAGUAACUGGUCAGGUCCCCAAAACAAUGCAACACCAGCUGGGCCACAGAGUGACGGACAGGGCCACGGAGAGUGUAUCUGGGUCCCCCUCUGUUCUGGGCUGGGGAUAUAUAUACUUGAGGGUCCCAGCUAGGCCUGGGAAGGAGGGAUCACAUGAGCAUGAUGUGACCCAGGCCUCAAAGUUUGGUGGCCUGAUGCACAAGUUGUGAUAGCCAAGCAAGACCCCGCACGUUGGUGGUGGUGGCCUGCAGAUGUGUGUCUUGCUCUCACCUGGAUGGACUGGCACACAGAACCUGUGUCUUCAACUCUUCUAUGCACUGUGCAGUAAGAGGCAUUCAUGUGUGGCACUAGAGCUCCCCGCUUGCUGGUCCAGAGCACAAGGUGUGCAUAUCCUUCUAGACCUGGGAGAAUGGGAUCAUGGCCUAUGAGGGAGCUUUGGUUCCUCACUUUGCGAAAAUGGGCCACAGUCUUUCAAAAUCCACUGAGGCCUGGCAAUGUGUAAUUGUAGUAGGAGCUGAGGAAUGAGGCACUCACAGGUCUCUGCUUGUAAACCUGGAGAAUGGCUCCUACUAUGCGCUUUGAGCAUGUGUUAUUUUGUGAAUAUAUGUUUCUAGAACACUCCAUGUCUACCUGGUGUACAGUCUGGAUGACUUCAGAAGUUUAGUAUUAUUCAGGCAUUUAUAGAUGACCUGGUCUGAUUGUGAGCUCUGGUGUUUCUAGCUGAUUCUGACAGAUCAAAUAUGGGGAUUCAUGAGACAUAAGAUCACCAACUCUCUGGCCAGGUCUGAAAUCUCUGCAAGUCCAGCUCAUCCAGUUAGUGAUGGGCAAGUCCAAAGAUGUUGUCACUCUCUCUUCUUGUUUGGGGAAUUUUUGUGGAUCCUAUCAUAGCCUAUGUAGGGGUGACUUCAUGAGUAUGAAGGGAACUCAUGCUCAUGAAGGGAACCAAGCUUCUAUGUUGGUUUGUUUGAUGCCCAUUUUGUGGCACCUCUCAAUUCCUGAACUGUAGUAAUUGCCUCCAUAUAUCUUUCUUGUUCUCCAUGUUUGACUGGCACACAUGUAUGUCCUCUGUAAGGUGCUCCCUUUUGAAGUUAGGCAGACAUCUGUGGGACUAGAGAUCUCCCCUUGUUGGUCUAGUUCACAAGGUGUGCAUAUCCAUAGACCUGGGAGAAUGGGAACUUGGCCUAUGAUGACAGCUCCAGAUUCUUCCCUUUGCUGGAAUGGAGCACAGGAUGUAGGUACCCAAGUAGGCUGUGAGUGUGGGUUUGCAUGAGGAGUUGAGUAUCUGUUCCACUGACCUCUCUGGGCUGGUAUACCUCAAGCAUGACCUGAGCUAGUCCUCAUAAUAUGAGAAAAUGCCCUCUGAGGUUAUGUCUUCAUUACUCUGUGCUGUGUUGAUCUGAAUCUGUGGGACCUCAGCUAGUGUUGUGAUUGUAGGAUUUCAUGAGAAUUUGGUAUCUGGGGAACUCAGCAUGUUGGGCUGUUGCAUAUGCAUCAUGUUGUUAGCUGUGCCUAAGAAUGUGGAGAUACUUAGUUUUGAUGCAGUCAUGAGACACUCAAUAAAGGUGGGCUGGUUUGUGGCUGCAUGAUCCCAACCUUUUCUGCAAACUUGUAGAAAGCCAAGUUGUGGUGGUUUUUAGUUAGUUACCAGGAUGUGAUGUUGCACAGGUGUGGAGACCCAGACAAGGAGUAUGACCAUCUUGUUGGAAAGCAUGAUACUAGAUCAGUCUCAUUGAUUUGUCUAGUGUGCAGAGUGCAAGAUACCAGUUAAUAAUAGGUGUGUAAGGACUGGGAAGUUUUGCACAAGUCUGUUUCUCAGUCUGCUGUGGUAGCAUGCUGAUUGCUACGUUAUCUUUUCCUGGGAAUAUGAAGUGCAGUGGGCAUACUGGCUUCAGGAGUACUUACCUGGCUCAUCUGGUUGGCAGGCUGUGAGAACCAGAGUAGGCCUGGGAUUUUUAGGCCAAACAGGUAGGUGAACGUCUGGGUCACUCUUCAGGCUAGGCAGGUGUUAGGUAGUGUGUGGCCCAUACUGAGACUUGGUAUAUGUGGCCAGUUGUGGUAGCUGGUUAUUUGGGGUCCAUCACUAGGUCUUUUUUGUUGGUUAGCAUUUGCUUGGUUUCUAUGAAGUUAUUUUUCAAGUAUCUGCCAGGUAGUUUCUAGGCUUUUCCCCGUGAUAUUCCUGUGUAGGAGUAGAAUUUUUCUAGUUGUUCCAGCUUUGUGUUUUUUCAACUAUAAAUUCUUGACCAAUGGAUAUCUUUAAUGUCCAUGUUCUUCCCUGCAUUGUCUGGUCUAACAAUGAAAGACAUAUUUCAGCUGUGUGUCUUUGCUAUCACAAAGUUUCCUUAGACACAAUGAUUACCUGUUUGGUGUUUAAUGGUUCCUAUGCCAUUUCUUUCAUAGACAUUGAUGUUCUGAUCUCCAUGACCUUUUCAUCACUUUUUUACUCUAUUUUUGAAGAAAGAGCUUUCCAUGUAAUGUUUUCCACAUUAGGAGCUGUAUUAAUCUGCAUUUUACUAUUCCAGCUCUUUCUGCUUUGACCAUUAAAAAGUGUUCCAUAUCCAGUUUCUAUCUAGUUGCCUAUGUUCUGGCCAGGAAGUAAAUCUUUAAACUCAACUACUUCCAAAGAGGUCACAUCAUGUAGGUUUCAAAGGAAGUUUAUCAUUUCUGUAACUUCACCAUUAUUAUUUAUUCUAAUCUGGAAGGAAUGUUGUAUUUAUAUGUCUUUCAUAGCUGGAUUUGUUUUAGCCAUGCAGCGGUCUUCAAUAUCUAUGUCUUCUCAAGUUAUAGCUGCCUUCAAGUCAUAAUAUCUACUCUAUAUUCUUGUCUUUCCCAGAUAUACUUCUUUGAUAGCUACCGAAAUCCUCAAUUUCCACAUCUUUCAAAGCCAUAAUUUUUUACUGUUUGGUGAUGAAAAAUGGCUAGCAUUUUCCUAUCUGUGUCAUGAAAUAUAUUCUGCAUGUUACAUUUUCUACCAUAGACAAUAUUAUUAGGAAAUAAGCCUUCUAUCACAUGUCUUUACUAACCACAGAUACUUGGUGCAUUGAAGAAGUUUUUCAUAUCAGUUACUCAAAAUGAGUACCCAUAAAGAGAUAGAAUUCAGUUCUCAGUCUUGCAUAAUCAUUAAAGCUUUUGGUUGCAAAGAGAACAUCUAGUAUGACUUAUUUUCUCAUAAGCGUUUUUAAAAUCAUGUUAUAAUUUCCCAUGCCUAUAUGUUUCUAGCUCACAAAUACUCUGGCAAUAGAGUUCUCUGCAGUCACAUCCUCCCCGUUGCUGCUUUAGUACUGGAACAAGUCAUCUAUCACUAUGUCUUUCCCUAGAUAUAGAUGCUGUUGACAAAAAAGUGAUGCUCAACUUCUAUGUCAUCUCAUUCAGUGCAGGGUUGUAGCUGUGAAAUGCCUUCCAAAUCCACUUCAUCAUGAGCUAAAGUUGCCCAGUAAUGCAAGAAGUUUUCUAUUACCAUAUCUUCCCAAUCCACAUCUACCCUGCUUAAAGAAAUUUUCCUGCUUCUCCUCUUCCAUAGACUCAACAAAGUUGGUCAGAAAAAAAAGUUUCAUCUCUGGCCAAGAAAUAAGUCCUUCACCUUCAUGCUUUUCCCAGGUGCAUCUACUUUGAUCAUGGAAGAAGCCAUUCCUUGCUCAUGCCUUUCAAAGUCUCUCUGCUCUGGUUAUGAGCUUGACCUUUAAAUGAUAUAUGUCAGAGCUUCUUCCAUAAAAAAAAAAAUACCUUCUUGUUUCCCCCAAACUAUAGUUGUCUUUGUUACAGAAUUAUUUUUUCUGCUAUCAUGGCUUCUCAAGUCAUGGCAGCUUUGAUCAUGAAAGCAGACUUUCCACAGAACAUUCCUUGCUAACCCCAUUCCUGUCAAGAUAUAUCUGUUUUUGUCACAUUCUAGUUUGGGUUUCCUCAAUUUCUGCAUCCAUAACUACUUUGUCAAGUAAACAAUGUGGCUAAAGCUAGGAUUUCUCCUUCUACAUUUGCUGUUAAUGUGAAUGAAAUCUGUCUUGGUGACCACAGGAAGUUUCCUCUGUGUCCAUUUCUGCUCUGACCACUGAAGUCUUUCUGCUUGUGUAUGGCCAUAGCAACUCUUGUGUGUUUGUACUGAGAUAUUAUCUCAUCAGUCAGGAUGAUCUUGAACUCACUAUUUUCCUACAGUGCUAGCUAUCAACUCUUUGAUAUGUGUAUCUGAGCUUUACAACAUCCACAUAGUAAACACAUCUCUACAGCAAGAUGAAUUAAUAGGUGUAUUAUCUUAUAUACCUGCUUUUUCUGACAAAAGCAGCUAAAAUCCACUUAUUUAAUAAAAACCCCAAAUACAAUAUGGUCUUAUUAACUAUAGUACUCAUGCUGCCAUACAUUAAGUCUUUAUAUUUGCUUCUCCUACACAUCUGCUACUUCAGGAUUCCUUUAGAACAGUUGUCUCCACUUCAGCACAGUGAAGGUUCCCUUGCAGAGCAAGUGCAAGUCCAUCCUGCUACCUCCUACAUUACUAGUUUCACUCAAGUCUUGACAGUAUAUAGAGAAACAUAUAAAGAAUAUGCUAAUUGGUACAAAGUUCCAGGCAAGGACAGCCAAGUAGAUGAGCCCAGUUUGUUCUCUUCUGUACAGUUUUGCAUUCCUAUCUAUGCCUAUUUCUAUGGAUGUAUUCCAUUUUCAUGCUGUAUGUUUGAGGUUUUUACUCUGUAUCCUGUAUCUGUAUCCAACUUGAGAAAGAGACUGCAAGUGUAGCAUGGAGAACACACUGUACUUAUGGUAAGACAAUGGACAAUUCAGGAACUAUUCUCUCAAAGGUGAAGAGAUCUCAGAAGCAAUCAUCUAAACCAUCAGGAAUUCAUUAGAGUACAGUGAGGCUUUCUAUGGGCAAAUCCAAUGCCUACCUAGGAGAGAGGAUCUGGGGAUGUCUGACUGUCUCAACUCGGCCCUUUCAUCAGACCAAACAUACCAAGAAAACUUAGCUUUGUAACUUGUAAAAAGUCACCUAUGGGUGAAAUACUCUUUUCAUAUGAAUACUCUGAGUACUGGGCUUGGUAGUAUACUCAUGUAAUCCUAGCAUUAAAAAGACCAAAGCAAUAGGAUUACAGCUCAGUCUGGGUUGUAUAAGAACCUGUCUAAAAAUGGCUAAUGCAUAUUACUUUUACUCAUACUCGCUCUUCUUUCUUUGGAAUAUCCCUGGGUCUCUGAACUCCAUUUGGCUCAACAUCCUGUCUUCUUAUACUCAACUGAGGAACACCUUUGGACAUUUGUAUCUGGAUUUCCUUCAGGCUUGGUGUUUGGUAUUUCUUAUGUAGACCUCCACACCAUAAUUACAGGUGUUUUUAACCAGAAAUGCGACCCAUUAGCUCUGUCAAGAGGAACAGCUAGUCAACAUGCCACCACAUUCCAAAAACUUGCCUAGGAACUGGCCACAAGCUGAAGUCCCAAGAUCAUCUGGACAUGAAGAAUCACUUCUUCAUAUUUCCAUAAAUGCUAGUUUGGCUGUGCUUGUAAUCCAUGGUACUUGGGAGACUAAGGUGGGAGAAUUACUUGAGUCAAAGAACUGAGUUGACCAUCCUGAACAACAUAGUAUGACCCCAUCUCAAAUCAAAACCAACCAAACACCAGAAAAGAAAUUCAUAGACUUUUUAGUGAACUUGCUGAGGAAAAGGAUUGUAUUGCUAAAUGUUAAGGGAUAAUGUUAUUAAUAUUUUAUAUUGAUGGUAUUUUAUUAUUUAAGCCACAAAAAUACUCAUUCUGAAUAAUACACAUUCUUGAGUGAACUUUUGGAGUGGGUGAGAUACUUAUAUGUACACAUGUGAUGAGACAGUAUUUGUGGCGUUUUAGGCUGAUCUUGUUCAUAGUAUACUGACGGUGCAUUGUAUAUCUUUUUCAUUAAGUUGUAUAAGAUUGGUGGAUUGGAAUUUACAAGUAAGAUGGUGGAUUAAAAGCUCCAUCUGAGUCAGUGGAUAAAAAUGUUAUGAUAAAAACAUAAUAGAUCCAAUUUAUAUACAAGAAAGACUAAAAAAAUAAAAAGCCAAAGUCUGAAUUUCUCUACAAUGAAGGAGCCAGGUCCACCAGAAAUCAGUUGUGGUACCUACUCCCACUGACUGACAUAAGCUGCCAGCCAUGUGUUCUCCUAGGUGACACCAUGAAAGCCCAGGAGAAAAGGCCUGCGCUGUGUAAACACAACUGGAUGGAUAAAAAUUCCAUAUAUAGAACAAGUUGUGAGUAGUAGAAAUGUGGUUUGAAAACCUCAAGAUCACUACACAUUAAUAAAGGGAUAAUUCAUCAAGAAGAUUAGAAUAUUAUUAACAUUUAUACACCAAAUAUCAGGUACAAUCAGCAGGAAAUUUCAAAACUCUCAUCUUUAGACACAUAUUUCAAACUAAAAAUCAACAAAGAAACAGUUUAAGUAAAUAACACCAUAGAGCAAUUGCAUUUAACAGAUACUUACAAAGUAUUCUAUCCAACUAAUAGGGAAUGCACAUUAUUCUCAGCAGCACAUAGGGCUCACUUUAAAACUAUACACAUUAUAGGAUACAAAGCAAAAAUCGAAUUACUUAUAUUUUAUCAGACAAUAGCAGAAUAAAAGCAGCUACACAAGUACUUAGUACUGAGCAAUACAUUUUUGAAUGAACAAUGGAUCACUGAGGAAAUCGAGGAAAGUUUUUGAAAUCCUAAAAACAAAGGAAAAUUAUGAUAUAACCUACUAAAACUUAUGGGAUUUAAAAAGACAUUCAUAAGAGGAAGGAUUAUAGCUCUAAGUGCUUACAUUUGAAAAAAAUCAAUGAGAUCACAAAUAAAUAACCUAAUUAUAUACCUCAAGGUUCUAGAAAAACAAGAAGUCAAACUCAGAUGAUAUGAAUGUCAAGAAGUAGACACUAGGAAUAUACAGAGUCAAUCAAACAGAAAGUUAUUUGAAAAGCCAAAGAUCAAAGAUCUAAAGAAAAAUAGAUAAUAUCUAAAUAAGAAAAAUUAGAGGUGAAAAAUAAGCUCUUACUGCAGACUCUAAUAAAAUCCAGAGGGAUAUUAGGGAAUACUUUGAAACCUCAUCCUAAAAAGCUAGAAAACUGGGGCUGGAUAUGUAGCUCAAUGGAAAAGUGCUUGUCUGGCAUGUUCAAAGUCCUAGAUUUGAUUCCUAGCACUGUCAAAACCAAAAUGUUAGAAAACUUAAAAGAAAUGGAUAUAUUCUUUUUUUAAAAAUUCUACAGAGAUUUAUUUUAAAACAAUUUUUCAGUAUGCAUGCAACUUUACCAUUUACUAAAGAUGAAAGGAAAUCUGCAAACUAAUGAGAUAGACAUGCUUGUUUAUUUUUAUAUAAGGAAUUAAAUCUUGAGGCAGGUGUGGCACACCCAGUACUUGGGAGGUAGAGGCAAGAGGAUCAAGAGUUCAAGGCCAGCCUCAACUACAGAGCAAGUGUGAAGCUGGCCUGGGCUACAGGAGACAUUGUCUCAACUUCUCCCACAUGCCCCUAAAGGGUACUAAAUCUGAGCUGACUGUUUGGUAUCACACAAUGUCCAAUGUUUUUCAGAGUUGAUCGAUGUUUAAAAUGCCUAUCUGUCAAUGCUAAGAAUGCUGUUUUACAGAUAGUACAAAAUGGCAGAAACAUGUUUAUGGCCAUUUCAGACACUGUUGGAAAUUCUAUCUUAACCUCAAGCCAAAAAAUUCAUUUAAUGGUUUCUUUUUAAAAUGAAACUCAAGCUACCAACUCAAACAGCAAUUUUCAAAAGAAAUGGACAUAUUCUUAACCCAUGUGAGCUGCCAACAUGAAUUCAAGGAGAUACAAAUAACUAUAAGAGAUGCAAAAUAAGCAAUGAUAUUGAAGUUUUCCUACAUAGAAAAGUCAAGGGCUGGAUGGAUUCACUAUUGAAUCCUAACAAAUAUUUAAGGAAGUCUAGCAUCAGCACUUCUUAAAUAUUUUCAUAAAAAAGAAAUGGAGAGGACACCAUUAAACUUAUUCCGUGAAGCUGUUACUAUCGUGAUACCACAUUUCCCUGGUGAACAGAUAUACAAAUUCUCAAAAUACUUAUUUUGGUAAUUACCAGGGUCAUUGUCUUAGUCAGUGUUCUUUGGCUGUGAAGAGACACCAUGACCGUAGCAACUCUUCUAAAUGCAAGCACUUAACUGGGGCUUCCUUACAGUUUCAGAAGUUUAGUCCAGAAUCAUCAUGGCAAGAAGCAUGUGGCAUGGCAGCAUGCAGGCAGACAUGGUGCUGAAGAGGAGCUGAGAGUUCUACAUCUAGAUCUGAAAGCAGCAGGAAGAGAGAGAGAGCCACUGAAAACCCAAAGCCCACCCCCCAGUGACAGGCUUCUUCCAACAAGGCCACACCUACUCCAACAAAGCCAUAUGUCCUAGUCUCCCUCAAGUAGUACCACUCCCUAAUGACCAAGCAUUCAAAUGUAUGAAUGAGCCUGUGGGGGCCAUUCUUAUUCAAACCACUGCAGUCAAGGUGAUGGAGAAAAGGACUUUUGUUGUUUUUGUCAUUCUCUUCCUCCUCAUUCUUCUCAUUAUUUUUACUUGGUUUUUAUAAUAUAGAAUAGAGGUCUACUUUUGCAACAUGAAAUUCUAUAGACCCAUUUUCCUGUAAUGUGAAUAUAGUUAACAUUGCUGUUAUGCAUUUUAAAGUGUUAAAUAUGAUUUAUACACAUGUUAAAUUUGUUACUGACCCUAAAAUUGAAGUGAUUGGAAAAAAUGGAUUAAAAAUCAAACUCCA